CCCUGCCUGUAUCACCUUGACCUUAUCUGAGGGCCCCAUAUCUCAAUAGAUUAAACUGCCCGAGUUAGACUCUCGACUGGCACUGAACACCCCGUCCCAGCGGAGCACCAAGAGCACACCGCAGGCGAGAGGGGGAGAGCCAGAGAGAGAGAGAGAGAGAGAGAGAGAGAGAGAGAGAGAGAGAGAGAGAGAGAGAGAGAGAGAGAGAGAGAGAGAGAGAGAGAGAGAGAGAGAGAGAGAGAGAGAGAGAGAGAGAGAGAGAGAGACACAAUGGGGUUCUUCUGGUGGUGGAAGUGCCGUGAUGGACCUCGUACCGGGAACCCCCGUGGGCCCCAUGGCGCAGGCUGGGCGGGCCCCACCACGCUGCUCUGUGUCUACGGAUUCUGCUCCAUGAUGAGACCCAUCGAGCCCUUCCUGACGGAGUUCCUCUCGGGGCCCGACAAGAACUUCACCACCGGUCAGCUAACGCGCCAGGUGUACCCUGUGGUGACCUACUCCAACAUCCUCCUCCUGGUCCCAGUCCUCCUGGUGACCGACUGGCUGCGCUACAAGCCCGUCAUCGUCCUCCAGGCGCUCUGCAACCUGCUGUCCUUCCUGCUCCUCCUGCUGGGCCCGCGUGGGGACACCGCCUGGGCCCGCGGGGCCCUCUUCGUCUCCAGCCUGGGCUCGGUGGCCGACGUGGCCUACAUCUCCUACAUCUACAGCCUGGUGCCGCCGCAACGCUACCAGAGAGUCACGGGCUACGUGCGCGGCGCCUUGCUGCUGGGCUACGCGGCGGGCGCCACGCUGGGCCAGCUGCUGGUGUCCGUGUUCGCCGUGGCGCUGCGCCGCCUGUUUGCCGUGUCCGUGGCGUCGAUGGCCGCCGCCCUGGCCGUGGCGCUCUUCCUGCCCAUGCCCAAGAGGAGUCUGCACGAGAGGGAGAUGCGGGGGGGCUCCGGUGCGGAUGCAGUUGCGGACGCGGAGGAAGACCCCGGCUGCUCCGUCGGACCCUGCAGGCAGGCGUGGGCGCGGUCACGGCGUGCGGUCCGCUGCGCAGGCAGGGCGUCGCAGAGGCUGGCGGCGGACUGCGUGGCGUGUUACUCCUCGGUGGCGGUGGCCUUCUUCUGUGUUUGGUUCGCUGCUGGGAGGUGUGGCUUCUACCAGGUGGCAAGCUACGUGCAGUUGCUGUGGCUUGAUCAGCAGCCGCAGCACAACUUCACGGCCUACAACGGAGCGGUGGACGCCCUCGCAACCCUGUCGGGAUCGGCUGCAUCCCUCGCAGUAGGCCACAUCUCUCUGGACUGGGCCCUGUGGGGAGAGGUCUUCCUCGGGGGUUUCACAGCCCUGAUUUCAGGGGCUCUGUUCCUGAUGAACCUGACUGAUAACAUCUGGGUCUCCUACGUCUGCUAUGCCCUCUUCAAAGCGCUCUACAUGCAACUCAUAACCGUGUGCACCUUCCAGAUUGCCAAGUCUCUGAGGCUGGAACGCUACGCCUUGGUGUUUGGUCUGAACCGCUUCCUGGGGACUGUCCUCCAGACCGUCCUCACAGGUGUGGUGAUCAACACCAGGUCUCUGAGGCUCACCCUCUCCUCCCAGUUCUUGAUCUAUGCAGCCUUCUUUGGAGUGCUGGCCCUGCUGUUCGUUGUUAGAGGUGUGUAUGUAGUCUUCCACACAAAGCACAGCUCCCAGGAGAACCAGGCGGAGAGAGACAACCAAUUACCAGAGGUCACACCUCGGCCAUUCUGAACCGUGACUGCAGCAAAAUGAUGGUGCGUAUCUCCCUGAUUUUGCAGAGAAAAAAUUAGGUGUUGAGACUGGACAGAUCCCUCGACCUCCAGAAACAGGAAGUACAGAUUCAGAGCCAGUAUGACACCUCCUCCAGAAGAAGGAGUGACUGGAGAACCUCCUCCUCCAGAGCAAACAGGAGAAGCCGGUCCAUGAUGUUCCCUCUUUGGACAAGAAUGUCAAGUCCUUGGGCAAAGUGGCCCUGAAGCUUCAACUGAGGCUGGUGGCGAACAGCAAACAGACUGGCCUUCAACAAAGAGGAGGAUGUGAUGGCUGAGGCCAGGAAGGCCUUCCAGAUGUAGAAAAGAAAAGUUCUGGCUGGAGAGGGAAGCCUUACACAAGCAGAGAUCAGAACCUAGGAGCAUGCAAAGAUCACUGCAAGGAGUUUGAAGAGAGCAUGCUGAGGAAGGCCUACUGGAAGGAGAAGAGGGGGGUGCAGGCCUACAACAAAGCCCACUUCAUCGAGCCCACAACAUGGCCCACACGUGGAACACCAUCAACAGCCACCACACAAGUCCUGAUGCAACUGCGGCCUCUUAUGGCCACGGUGGUGAAUUUGUUGUCUGAAUGGAGAUUGCAAUUCGGAAACUGUGGCUCAAGUCAGAACCCCUACUGACCCGACUGGGUCAAGCACGGAUCCGCACUGUGAAUGAUCCGCCACUGUGUGUGUGUUUAUCAAUCACAAACACACUCACACACACACACACACACACACACACACACACACACACACACACACACACACACACACACACACACACACACACACACACACACACACACAGCUGAUUGUAUUUGGCAGCGUAAUCUGUGUAGUACACUUACACUCUCUUGGUCUACCAGAACGAUAAUGGCUCUUGGUUACUUACAGAACACCCUUAGUACCCCUGGACAUCUAGCAGAGAGAGGGAUCCUGAGCUACUUUUUACACUUCACUCACUUUCAACAGUGCCUGGGUAGGGCCUGCAUGAUGGGGGGCUAAAAAGGGAAAUGGAUGAGAGCCGUGCUGAUAACUGAUGCUGUUUUCAGAAAAAAUAAACACUUCAGUUUCUUCGUGUGCUGGCUUUA